rfam:Arabis alpina cultivar Pajares Aa.chr4_contig_2078, whole genome shotgun sequence.
AUACCUUUCUCGGGGUUUUAGCUAAGAUCAAGUGUAUAUGUUCUUAUCGGUUUAAUAUCUUAUAUGUGAAAAAAUAAAAAAUAACUUCAACGUUU